CUUUUUUAGGCGGGGGCCUUCCGUUUAAUAAUUCAGUAAUUAGAUGCACUGCUGUCAGCUGUGAAAUCCCUAACAGCUUUGCAAUGACAACAUAUUGAAGGCUUUGUGGUCCUCCAAGGUCUCUCUCGAUGUCUUUAACAGGAAGGACAGAGAUCACAUUAGCUGGGAAAACCUAGGCAUGGCCUGAGAGAGUGGAAAAGAGUAAAAGUAAAAUGCCUUAUCAUCCAUGCACUAUGUCUCUGGCUGAGACUUUCGCCAAGGGGUCAUUCAGUGAACAUCACCUUGCUGGCGAUGCACAGAGCUGUCUCAACAUGUCAUCGUGUAAAGUCUGUCUGCACAAAGAUCCCUGGCACACAACCACAAUACCUGGGACACAGUAGAUGCUUGACAAUGGGGCCAAGAGGGAAGAAGAGAAAGGAAGGCUGGACCAAAUGAAAAGGAAAGCUAGAUUGGU
rnacentral:lncRNA from 1 species